AUUGAACGCUGGCGGCAUGCCUAACACAUGCAAGUCGACCGGGGCAGCAAUGCCUAGGGGCGGACGGGUGAGGAAUACGUAGGAAUCUGCCCUUAAGCGGGGGAUAAGCAGGGGAAACCCUGACUAAUACCGCAUGAUCUCUUCGGAGCAAAGAGGGGGACAGCAAGGCCCCUCGCUUCUGGAUGAGCGUACGUCUGAUUAGGUAGUUGGUAGGGUAAAGGGCUACCAAGGCGACGAUCAGUAACUGGUCAGCAAGGACGACCAGCCACACUGGGACGGAGACACGGGCCAGACUCCACGGGGAGGCAGAAGUGGGGAAUUUUGGACAAUGGGCGCAAGCCUGAUCCAGCAAUGCCGCGUGCAGGAAGAAGGCCUUCGGGUUGUAAACUGCUUUUGUACGGAACGAAACGGUCUGGGUUAAUACCCUGGGCUAAUGACGGUACCGUAAGAAUAAGCACCGGCUAACUACGUGCCAGCCGCCGCUGUAACAC
rnacentral:rRNA from 1 species